GAUGAACGCUGGCGGCGUGCCUAAUACAUGCAAGUCGAGCGAACGGACGAGAAGCUUGCUUCUCUGAUGUUAGCGGCGGACGGGUGAGUAACACGUGGAUAACCUACCUAUAAGACUGGGAUAACUUCGGGAAACCGUAGCUAAUACCGGAUAAUAUUUUGAACCGCAUGGUUCAAAAGUGAAAGACGAUCUUGCUGUCACUUAUAGAUGGAUCCGCGCUGCAUUAGCUAGUUGGUAAGGUAACGGCUUACCAAGGCAACGAUGCAUAGCCGACCUGAGGGGGUGAUCGGCCACACUGGAACUGAGCCACGGUCCAGACUCCUACGGGAGGCAGCAGUAGGGAAUCUUCCGCAAUGGGCGAAAGCCUGACGGAGCAACGCCGCGUGAGUGAUGAAGGUCUUCGGAUCGUAAAACUCUGUUAUUAGGGAAGAACAUAUGUGUAAGUAACUGUGCACAUCUUGACGGUACCUAAUCAGAAAGCCACGGCUAACUACGUG
rnacentral:rRNA from 1 species